UGAGGAAUAUUGGUCAAUGGGGGCAACCCUGAACCAGCCAAGUCGCGUGAAGGAUGAAGGUCUUAUGGAUUGUAAACUUCUUUUACACGGGAAUAAAGUGGGGGACGUGUCCCCCUUUGCAUGUACCGUGUGAAUAAGGAUCGGCUAACUCCGUGCCAGCAGCCGCGGUAAUACGGAGGAUCCGAGCGUUAUCCGGAUUUAUUGGGUUUAAAGGGUGCGCAGGCGGGAUGUUAAGUCGGCGGUGAAAUUUUGCAGCUCAACUGUAAAAGUGCCUUCGAUACUGGCCUCCUUGAGUGUGGAUGAAGUAGGCGGAAUUUGUGGUGUAGCGGUGAAAUGCUUAGAUAUCAAGAGGAACUCCGAUUGCGCAGGCAGCUUACUAAGCCACAACUGACGCUUAUGCACGAAGGCGUGGGGAUCAAACA
rnacentral:rRNA from 1 species